rnacentral:rRNA from 1 species
GACGAACGCUGGCGGCGUGCUUAACACAUGCAAGUCGAACGGAAAGGCCCUGCUUUUGUGGGGUGCUCGAGUGGCGAACUGGUGAGUAACACUUGAGUAACCUGCCCUUGACUUUGGGAUAACUUCAUGAAACUUGGGCUAAUACCGGAUAGGAGCUCCUGCUUCAUGGUGGGGGUUGGAAAGUUUCGGCGGUUGGGGAUGGACUCGCGGCUUAUCAGCUUGUUGGUGGGGUAGUGGCUUACCAAGGCUUUGACGGGUAGCCGGCCUGAGAGGGUGACCGGCCAAAUUGGGACUGAGAUACGGCCCAGACUCCUACGGGAGGCAGCAGUGGGGAAUAUUGCACAAUGGGCGGAAGCCUGAUGCAGCAAAGCCGCGUGCGGGAUGACGGCCUUCGGGUUGUAAACCGCUUUCGCCUGUGACGAAGCGUGAGUGACGGUAAUGGGUAAAGAAGCACCGGCUAACUACGUG